rnacentral:rRNA from 1 species
UCAGGGGUAGGGGAGCGUUGUAUAAGGGUUGAAGGUGUACCGUAAGGAGCGCUGGACAUUAUACAAGUGAGAAUGCCGGUAUGAGUAACGAAAAGAUCAGUGAGAAUCUGAUCCGCCGAAAGCCUAAGGGUUCCUGAGGAAGGCUCGUCCGCUCAGGGUAAGUCGGGACCUAAGGCGAGGCCGAAAGGCGUAGUCGAAGGACAACAG